CGCAGGUCUCGGGGCUGGUAGUAGCGCUGCCUGCAAACCAGCACCAAGGCUGCAAACGAAGCCAGAAAGAUGGUGGCCAGCACACCUAUGGCAACUAUCACCACGGUCUCCAUGCUUCCGGGGAGCUCCUGACUCAGUCCCGUUCACAUCGUCCUCAUGGGCUAAGGCUGCUGGAAGUGGCAAACUGGGGGAAGAGGAUGGCAGGAGCUAGGUUCCUCCACGACACCUCCAGAGACCUGAGGGCCUCAAGCUGCAGCUCCGGGGCACAUCCCGCUGCGCUCCCACGACGGCCCCGCGGAUGGCAAAGUCAGCGGCAUCGCCUAUGCAGGCAAUCAAAGGAUGUUGAUGGAUAAGUGUUUCAGGCAGAAUAAUGGCCCUCAAAGAUGUUGACACCAGAAUCUUCAGAACCUUUGCAUAUGUUACCUAACAUGACAAAAGGGACUUUGCUGAUGUGAUUAAGGUUAAGAACUUUGAGAAGGGAAGAUUAUCCUGGAUUAUACAGGUCGACGUUUAUUUCUUUCUGAACUUUCCUGGAGGAUCAUCGGCCAUACUCCAGCAGAAGGGUGGAUUUGAAAAAAUAACGUUUCCACGGCAACAGUGGCAGCAAUUCAAAGGAAGACGUUGGAGAAUUCACAUGCUAUUUUAGCUGGCUCUGUGAUUGCAAUCACACAAAUCAUUACAUUCCAGCGAGAUCCCAUCAACAGAAGGUUUUUCCAUUUCAGUCUGUCAAGUUUUUCAGGCAUGAAUACUGUAAGCAAGAAGAGAAAAGUUACAAUAAAUUGACAUUUAUAGUUGAAGUUGACCUCUAACCUGUGAAGCUUUCUUGAACAUUCCCUCACUGAAAACUCCUUUUCAUUACUUUUCCUGUAUUGUAUCUCUACAUGCUCAUGAGCAGUUUAAAUCAUUGGCAGAUCUGGAUAGUAUCUGCUAAAAACAUGUUGGCACCUAGAUUCCACUGUUACUAACUAAACAUGAAGCUAAAAAUAAAUGAGAGAUGCUAGAGAUUUGAGUAAUUCCACAGUCUCAUCAUAAAUGGCAGCAAGCAGAUUCUGUUGACCAUGGUCUGCUUGUUGCAGAAAGAUAAAACCCAAUAUCAAAAUUGUUCGGGUGAUAAUCUUCUGCACUUUAUCUUCCAGAUGGAAAAUAACCUACACUCUUCAAAUCCUUAAAUAUUUUUGUGCUCACAUUUUCCAAAUACUUAAGGCUGUUAUUCCGAGAUAGUGAGAACCAGCCCAAUCUGUCAUCUUAUCUCCCUUUAAUAAUGA
rnacentral:lncRNA from 1 species